CAAAUUCGCUUCUUGGGGACU
rnacentral:miRNA from 1 species